rnacentral:misc_RNA from 1 species
AAACGGACUCACCGCACCACCAAAGCUACCGCCAUUGAAGCACGAGAACCUCGCAGCUCGCUCAAUGAAAGCGGAAUCAGUUGGGAACUGUGGGAGACUCGGAGGAAGUACUCCAAGGCUGGCAGGCAUGAAAACACCUCCCAUCUCAAGCCUCGAAGGCAUUGCUGCCGGCUUUCCGAUAGGCACACUGUUUGAAGUGCUAGCACCGGAUUGAACACCAGUCUCACA